rnacentral:piRNA from 1 species
UGCUCCAUGGGAAGAGAGAGGCCUUC